rnacentral:tRNA from 1 species
GGGGAUUUAGCUCAGUGGUAGAGCGCUUGCCUAGCAAGCACAAGGCGGCAAGGUGCAAGGCCCUGGGUUCGGUCCCCAGCUCCG